GUGCUUGGUUCAGCAGCACAUAUACUAACACUGGAAUGAUACAGAGAAGAUUAUCAUGGCCCCUGCGCAAGGAUGACAUGCAAAUUCAUGAAGCAUUCCAUAUUUUU
rnacentral:snRNA from 1 species